rnacentral:rRNA from 1 species
AUUGAACGCUGGCGGCAUGCCUUACACAUGCAAGUCGAACGGCAGCGGGUCCUUCGGGAUGCCGGCGAGUGGCGAACGGGUGAGUAAUACAUCGGAACGUACCUGGAAGUGGGGGAUAACGUAGCGAAAGUUACGCUAAUACCGCAUAUUCUGUGAGCAGGAAAGCAGGGGCUCUUCGGACCUUGCGCUUUCGGAGCGGCCGAUGUCGGAUUAGCUAGUUGGCGGGUAAAGCCCACAAGGCGACGAUCCGUAGCGGGUCUGAGAGGAUGAUCCGCCACACUGGGACUGAGACACGGCCCAGACUCCUACGGGAGGCUG